GAGGGUAUAGUUCAAGCGGUAGAGUUUGUGCUUUGCAUGCACGAGGUCCUGGGUUCAAUCCCCAGUACCUCCA